rnacentral:rRNA from 1 species
AUUGAACGCUAGCGGGGUGCUUUACACAUGCAAGUCGAACGUGUGGCGGACGUGUGAGUAAUAUAUCUGAACGGGCCCCGUAGCGGGGGAUAACUACUCGAAAGGGUGGCUAAUACCGCAUUCUAUUGGAGGGGCCGCUCGCGGAUUAGCUAGUUGGUGGGGUAAAGGCUCACCAAGGCCACGAUCCGUAGCUGGUUUGAGAGGGCGACCAGCCACCCUGGGACUGAGGCACUGCCCAGACUCCUACGGGAGGAAGCAGUGGGGAAUUUUGGACAAUGGGGGAAACCCUGAUCCAGCCAUCCCGCGUGUAUGAGAAGGCCUUCGGGUUGUAAAGUACUUUUUGCAGAGCAGCGGUAUCUGCAGAAUAAGCACCGGCUAACUACGUGCCAGCAGCCGCGGUAAUUC